GGUGGCUCAGUGGUAGAGUGCUUGCCUUGCAUGCAUGAGUCUCUGGGUUCAAUUCCUCAGCACCA
rfam:Dipodomys ordii contig_42253, whole genome shotgun sequence.